GACGAACGCUGGCGGCGUGCCUAACACAUGCAAGUCGAAUGGAAAGGCCUGCUUUCCCUUGUGGAUUGCGGGUACUCGAGUGGCGAACGGGUGAGUAACACGUGAGUGAUCUGCCCCCAACUUGGGUAUAAGCCUGGGAAACUGGGUCUAAUUCCCGAUAGGACUGCAGGGUGGUGCCUGUGGUGGAAAACGAUUUUCUAGUGGUUGGGGAUGAGCUCGCGGCCUAUCAGCUUGUUGGUGGGGUAAUGGCCUACCAAGGCGGCGACGGGUAGCCGGCCUGAGAGGGUGGACGGCCACAUUGGGACUGAGAUACGGCCCAGACUCCUACGGGAGGCAGCAGUGGGGAAUAUUGCACAAUGGGCGGAAGCCUGAUGCAGCGACGCCGCGUGGGGGAUGACGGCCUUCGGGUUGUAAACUCCUUUCGACCGCGAGGAAGCCACCUGGUUGGAAGGGUGGUGACGGUAGUGGUAGAAGAAGCACCGGCUAACUACGUG
rnacentral:rRNA from 1 species